rnacentral:RNase_P_RNA from 1 species
UUGGUGAAUCAAGGUACCGCGCUGUGACUCAUAUUCACAGUGAGGAAAGUCCGGGCUCCGCAGGGCAUGGUGCCGGGUAAUUCCCGGGCAGACAUCGUCUGACAGCAAGCGCAACAGAAAAUAUACCGCCUCUACGGUAAGGGUGAAAUGGUGCGGUAAGAGCGCACCGCAUGUGUGGUAACAAACGUGGCAAUGCAAGCCUCACCAGGAGCAAAGUCAAGCAGCGGUAGAAUGCCCCUUCAUAUACCGCGGGUAGACUGCAUAGACGCAACCGGUAACGGUUGUGCAAGAUAAAUGGUACCUCCGUAAUGAUUUUUACGUACAGAAUCCGGCUUAUGGUUCACUUUUUAG